UCAAAUCUCUCCAUCUGGAACAGAUUUGCUUGGUUUCUGGGCAGGGUAUUGAUGGUGUGUGAGCAGCUCCAGCUGAGAGGAGAACCUGUUCCAUUUGUCCCUGCUCACACGGUGACUGAUGGCUGGCAACAGCCAAUUUGCAAAUUUACCUCCCAAAUCAUUAAUCCCUCCUUUUUUUUUGAUCACAGGAAUGGUAGAACCUCUGUACCUCUGUUAGCUGGAGGAGCGUGUGUGUUUGUUUGAAGAGAUCUCAAUGUCCCCCCUCACUCCCAGCUGUUGUGCAGUAAAGCCACCAGGAAAUAUCAGCCAACCCAUCCAGGCUCUGCCAACCCUCCUGAACGAGAAGACAAAGUGAAAAUUGGAGAUCUGUGUGUUCAGACCGCAGGGCUGGGAAGAGACGGAGUUGUCUGAGUGUACGUUGGUGAGAAA